GACGAACGCUGGCGGCGUGCCUAAUACAUGCAAGUUGAGCGAUGAAGAUUGGUGCUUGCACCAAUUUGAAGAGCAGCGAACGGGUGAGUAACGCGUGGGGAAUCUGCCUUUGAGCGGGGGACAACAUUUGGAAACGAAUGCUAAUACCGCAUAACAACUUUAAACAUAAGUUUUAAGUUUGAAAGAUGCAAUUGCAUCACUCAAAGAUGAUCCCGCGUUGUAUUAGCUAGUUGGUGAGGUAAAGGCUCACCAAGGCGAUGAUACAUAGCCGACCUGAGAGGGUGAUCGGCCACAUUGGGACUGAGACACGGCCCAAACUCCUACGGGAGGCAGCAGUGGGGAAUCUUCGGCAAUGGACGAAAGUCUGACCGAGCAACGCCGCGUGAGUGAAGAAGGUUUUCGGAUCGUAAAACUCUGUUGGUAGAGAAGAACGUUGGUGAGAGUGGAAAGCUCAUCAAGUGACGGUAACUACCCAGAAAGGGACGGCUAACUACGU
rnacentral:rRNA from 1 species